UGCAGAUGAUGUAAAAGAAUAUUUGCUAUCUGAAGAUGGUGAUGACAUUUUAAACCACCAAGAUCUCUGAUGCA